rnacentral:rRNA from 1 species
UACGGAAGGUCCGGGCGUUAUCCGGAUUUAUUGGGUUUAAAGGGAGCGUAGGCCGUCUGGUAAGCGUGUUGUGAAAUGUCGGGGCUCAACUUGGGCAUUGCAGCGCGAACUGUCAGACUUGAGUGCGCGGGAAGUAGGCGGAAUUCGUCGUGUAGCGGUGAAAUGCUUAGAUAUGACGAAGAACUCCGAUUGCGAAGGCAGCCUGCUGUAGCGCAACUGACGCUGAAGCUCGAAAGCGUGGGUAUCGAACAGG